GUGCUUGCUUCAGCAGUACAUAUACUAAAAUUGGAAUGAUACAGAGAUUAGCACAGCCCCCCAGGCAAAUUCAUGAUGUACUCCAUAUUUUU
ensembl:snRNA U6 U6 spliceosomal RNA